rnacentral:rRNA from 1 species
AGGAGGAGCGAAUCACAAAAACUCGGUCCCAGUUCAGAUUGCAGGCUGCAACUCGCCUGCAUGAAGUUGGAAUUGCUAGUAAUCGCGAAUCAGAAUGUCGCGGUGAAUACGUUCCCGGGCCUUGCNCACACCGCCCGUCACACCAUGAGAGUUGGAAAUACCCGAAGCCUGUGAGCUAACUUAAAGAGGCAGCAGUCGAAGGUAGAGCCAAUGAUUGGGGUGAAGUCGUAACAAGGUACC